rnacentral:rRNA from 1 species
GCGGAGGAAAAGAAACCAACAGGGAUUGCCCCAGUAACGGCGAGUGAAGCGGCAAGAGCUCAAAUUUGAAAGCUGGCUCCUUCGGGGUCCGCAUUGUAAUUUGUAGAGGAUGCUUCGGGAGCGGUCCCCAUCUAAGUGCCCUGGAACGGGACGUCAUAGAGGGUGAGAAUCCCGUAUGGGAUGGGGUGUCCGCGCCCGUGUGAAGCUCCUUCGACGAGUCGAGUUGUUUGGGAAUGCAGCUCUAAAUGGGUGGUAAAUUUCAUCUAAAGCUAAAUAUUGGCCGGAGACCGAUAGCGCACAAGUAGAGUGAUCGAAAGAUGAAAAGCACUUUGAAAAGAGAGUUAAAAAGCACGUGAAAUUGUUGAAAGGGAAGCGCUUGCGACCAGACUCGCUCGCGGGGUUCAGCCGGCAUUCGUGCCGGUGUACUUCCCCGCGGGCGGGCCAGCGUCGGUUUGGGCGGUCGGUCAAAGGCCCUCGGAAGGUAACGCCCCUAGGGGCGUCUUAUAGCCGAGGGUGCAAUGCGACCUGCCUAGACCGAGGAACGCGCUUCGGCUCGGACGCUGGCAUAAUGGUCGUAAACGACCCGUCUUGAAACACG